rnacentral:rRNA from 1 species
AUGUGUCUGUUCAGGGCCGGCUGGUGUGUUGUCUCAAGUCCUUGUGUUUUAACUCUAGAGUCCAGAAAGGAAAUGGUAGAUGUAUCCAUAAUUGAGUCGUGUAUCAUGACCGCGGUUCUCUUGUUGUCACCUGGAGCAAAUGGAUUAUCUGUUCACAAUUUUGGUAUCUCAUCUUACCUUUUUUUGUCCAAUAUUUACUUCUGGAACGGAAAGAAAUCUCCGGUACAAUUCCAGUUCGAUAUAAUUGCAUGUAGGGACUUUGCUAGUUUACCGAAUUUUGAAGAAGCAACGCUGACGGUACCUGAAUGGGCGCAUUUCAUGUGUUGA